rnacentral:rRNA from 1 species
UCAUGGCUCAGAGUGAACGCGGCGGCGUGCUUAACACAUGCAAGUCGAACGCGAAAGGGGGAGCAAUCCUCCAGUAGAGUGGCGAACGGGUGAGUAAUGUGUGAGCAACCUGCCUUUCGGAGUGGGACAACCCGGGGAAACCUGGGCUAAUACCGCAUAAAGUCCGGGGGCUUCGGCCCUCCGGCCCAAAAGAUGGCCUCUGCUUGCAAGCUAUCGCCGGGAGAUGGGCUCACAUCCUAUCAUGCUUGUUGGUGAGGUAACGGCUCACCAAGGCGGUGACGGGUAGCCGGCCUGAGAGGGUGUCCGGCCACACUGGAACUGAGACACGGUCCAGACUCCUACGGGAGGCAGCAGUGGGGAAUAUUUCGCAAUGGGCGCAAGCCUGACGAAGCAACGCCGCGUGGAGGAUGACGGCCCUAGCAGUCUUAAACUCCUGUCUAGUGGGACGAAAGGUUUGCGGGGAAAUACCCGCAGUAUUUGACGGGUACCGUCUGAGAAGCCGGCCAAAUUCCAGUC